GGGCUGCUGAAAGCACUUCACGUUUAAGGUAAUGGUGCAUCUUGAAAGUUGCUGGCUCCGUUUAAUAUAAAGGGUGAAAUCUGCUAAUCGAUUAUGGGGUUAGAUUUGUUUUUAAGAGGUUCUGAUUCUUUAAAGUCCUGGGGCUAAAAUAGGAUUAGAUACCCUAUUAUACUUGGUUUGAAUAAUUAAAUCUUUGGGUAGUAAACAGUUAUGGGCUCGAAACUCAAAGGGUUUGGCGGUACUUAAGUCUCUUUAGAGGAACUUGUACAAUAAACGAUAGUCCGCGAGAAUCUAGCCUGGUCUUGUAAUAUUCAGUUUGUAUACCGCCAUUAUUAGAUAACUCUUAUAGGGGUUUAUUGUAAUUGAAUUCAUUUAAGUAUAUUAGGUCAAGGUGCAGCUUAUGGCCAGGUUGUUAUGAGUUACAAUAGGGUUGUACGAUACGAACAUAUAUCCGGGAGGGGAUUAUCGAAGGUGGAUUUAAGUGUAAGGAAUGUACAUGUCGCAUAACUGAUAGAAGCUCUUAGGUAUGUACACAUCGCCCGUCGUUCUCACUCU
rnacentral:rRNA from 1 species